UAAGGAAUAUUGCUCAAUGGGAGAAAUCCUGAAGCAGCAACGCCGCGUGGAGGAUGAAGGGUCUCUGACUUGUAAACUCCUGUAAAGAAGGAAAAAAUUCCCAUUUGAUGGGAGAUGAUGGUACUUCUGGAGUAAGCCCCGGCUAACUACGUGGCAGCAGCCGCGGUAAUACGUAGGGGGAACGCGUUGUCCGGAUUUACUGGGUGUACAGGGUGCUCAGGCGGAUUUGUAAGUCAGAGGUGAAAUCUUACAGCUUAACUGUGAAACUGUCUUUGAUACUGCAAGCCUAGAGUAUGGAAGAGAGUGAUGGAAUAUCUGGUGUAGCAGUGAAAUGCGUAGAUAUCAGAUAGAACACCAAUGGCGAAGGCAGUCACUUGGUCCAUUACUGACGCUAAACCACGAAAGCGUGGGUAGCAAACA
rnacentral:rRNA from 1 species